GACCUCAAAUCAGGUAAGAGUACCCGCUGAACUUAAGCAUAUCAAUAAGCGGAGGAAAAGAAAAUAACAAUGAUUCCCUUAGUAACGGCGAGUGAAGGGGGAUAAGCUCAAAUUUUAAAUCUGGCUAGGUUUUACCUAUCAGAGUUGUAUUUUGAAGAAGCGUUUUCCGCGUCUCGGUUGGCCCAAGUCCUUUGGGAUAAGGUAUCAUGGAGGGUGAGAAUCCCGUUCGGUUGACCUUAUGACGCUUUACGAUACGCUUUCAAAGAGUCGAGUUGUUUGGGAUUGCAGCUCAAAAUGGGAGGUAAAUUUCUCCUAAGGCUAAAUAUCGGCGAGAGACCGAUAGCGAACAAGUACCGUGAGGGAAAGAUGAAAAGAACUUUGAAAAGAGAGUAAAAUAGUACGUGAAAUUGUGAAAGGGAAACGAUUGAAG
rnacentral:rRNA from 1 species